ACUGGAAAGAAAUUAUUUAAUCUUGAGAAAAGUUUGUCUGUUGUCUUUCAAUCGAUCUCUCAUGGCAACUCAAGAUCGUGUCGUCUCUCAGUUGCAAUAUGCAACGAAAACCGAUCCGAUGAAUCAUUUCAGUUAUAUGCGAGUUCUGUAGGUCAGCUAAAAGUGCAGUUCAAUAUUCCCAUUACUCACUUCCCAUAUCGAAGAAGAACCAAUACGAGGCCACAAAGAUGUCUAGCUUCAGGGCGAGUCCAAAGCAGGCGAAUAGGAAAUCGGUGGGCUUUUCCCAUUUUCCACGAUCGAGGUCCGGGCUGAAGGGCUUCUGGCCCGUGCCAUAAGAUGUCUCAUAGACCAUGGCAGCCUUGGUUUGAUGUUUGCCAAUGUCUGGACCAAAGAUUUA